GAGUGGUGCUUCUAGUCCAGAGAGCACAUCUGGAAUUCCAGUCUGAGCUUACAGUUAGAACUCCUGAGCCCAGAUUCAACUUUGCAAGCAAA
rfam:Mesocricetus auratus contig007832, whole genome shotgun sequence.